rnacentral:rRNA from 1 species
AUACGGAGAGUGCAAGCGUUAAUCGGAAUUACUGGGCGUAAAGCGCGCGUAGGCGGCUGAUUAAGUCGGAUGUGAAAUCCCUGGGCUCAACCUAGGAACUGCAUCCGAUACUGGUCAGCUAGAGUUUUGGAGAGGUAAGUGGAAUUUCCGGUGUAGCGGUGAAAUGCAUAGAGAUCGGAAGGAACACCAGUGGCGAAGGCGACUUACUGGCCAAAAACUGACGCUGAGGUGCGAAAGCGUGCGUAGCGAACAGGAUUAGAAACCCCAGUAGUCC